AGGAUCCGAGCGUUAUCCGGAUUUAUUGGGUUUAAAGGGAGCGUAGGCGGAAUUUUAAUUCAGCUGUGAAAGUUCAGGGCUUAACCUUGAAAUUGCAGUUGAUACUGGAGACCUUGAGUGCAGUUGAGGCAGGCGGAAUUCGUGGUGUAGCGGUGAAAUGCUUAGAUAUCACGAAGAACUCCGAUUGCGAAGGCAGCUUGCUAAAGUGUAACUGACGUUCAUGCUCGAAAGUGUGGGUAUCAA
rnacentral:rRNA from 1 species